rnacentral:tRNA from 1 species
UAAUAGGUGGCUGAAUUAGGCGGUAAAGUGUAAAUUUAUUUAUGACUGUAAGUCCCUGUUAA